CCUACGGGAGGCAGCAGUGGGAAAUAUUGGACAAUGGGGGCAACCCUGAUCCAGCCAUGCCGCGUGUGUGAAGAAGGCCCUCGGGUUGUAAAGCACUUUCAGUGAGGAAGAACGCCUGGUGGUUAAUACCCAUCAGGAAAGACAUCACUCACAGAAGAAGCACCGGCUAACUCCGUGCCAGCAGCCGCGGUAAUACGGAGGGUGUGAGCGUUAAUCGGAAUUACUGGGCGUAAAGCGCGCGUAGGUGGCUUGAUAAGCCGGUUGUGAAAGCCCCGGGCUCAACCUGGGAACGGCAUCCGGAACUGUCAAGCUAGAGUGCAGGAGAGGAAGGUAGAAUUCCCGGUGUAGCGGUGAAAUGCGUAGAGAUCGGGAGGAAUACCAGUGGCGAAGGCGGCCUUCUGGACUGACACUGACACUGAGGUGCGAAAGCGUGGGUAGCAAACAGGAUUAGAUACCCGAGUAGUC
rnacentral:rRNA from 1 species